AUUGAACGCUGGCGGCAGGCCUAACCCAUGCAAGUCGAGCGGAGCGGCGGACGGGUGAGUAAUGCCUAGGAAUCUGCCUGGUAGUGGGGGAUAACGUCCGGAAACGGGCGAUAAUACCGCAUACUAUCAGAAGAGCCUAGGUCGGAUUAGCUAGUUGGUGGGGGAACGGCCUCACAAGGCGACGAUCCGUAACUGGCCUGAGAGGAUGAUCAGUCAAUCUGGAACUGAGGUACGGUCCAGGCUCCUACGGGAAGCAGCAGUGUGGAAUAUUGGACAAUAGGCGAAAGCCUGAUCCAGCCAUGCCGGAUGUGCAAAGAAGGUCUUCGGAUUAGAAAGCACUUUAAGUUGGGAAGCUUUACCAACAGAAUGAGCACCGGCUAACUUCGUGCCAGGGCCACGGUAAUUC
rnacentral:rRNA from 1 species